rnacentral:lncRNA from 1 species
AUGGGCGAGGGCUUGAGUCAAGCAGGAAGCUGUGACGCAGGUUAUGGGCUGGGUCUGAGGUUUUGGAAACCUUUUCUAUGCGCCGCGCUCCUGGCCCCACUGUAUAUCUUGCGUGUGAAGCCGCGGCGAAGGCUGGCAAUGCAGGCCAAGAUGCAGCUCCUGAUCGGGUGCAACGGGAGGAUUUUCGUGGCUCUCUGUAUAAUCCUCUUUGUGGGAUACACGGCGCAAGGUGCGCCGCUGCAGAAGGCAAGCUACAAGCGGGUGAGGUGCAGGCCGGACACCUGGUCGGCCAACUGCAUUGAGGAGAAAGGGCCUUGGUUUUAUAUCCCUGAAGGUGGAGCCAACCGCAUCCUGCCUCCCAUGGCUGAUCCCUCUCUGAUGAAGGACUACCAGGAGCUGGCCCGUAUGUUCCCGCUUUCGGAAAAGGAGUCAGGCUCCGGGUUCGAGGACGUGGCUGAAGCGGAGCAGGAGUCCGGUUCGGGGGCUGACUUUGGUGUCGAUUACCCCAGCCUGAAGUUCCCUGACUUCUUGGUGGGCCAGCAAAAAAGCAAGCUGAAGCAGACGCUCACAGAGGAGGAUUUAAUUCUGUAGAGGAGAAAAGAAAACUUGGCCCUCAUCGUAAAGAUUGUGACUAUUCUUGUCUUCCGCAUGUCUUCUCUGGUGUACGACCGAAUGUGAUUACUCUCAGGACAAAAGAGUUUUAUACGAGUUCCAAAUCAAUAAAAACUGCCUUACACUUUCUAUUGCUUUUUCU